AGAGUUUGAUCCUGGCUCAGGAUGAACGCCGGCGGUGUGCCUAAUACAUGCAAGUCGUACGCACUGGCCCAACUGAUUGAUGGUGCUUGCACCUGAGUGACGAUGGAUCACCAGUGAGUGGCGGACGGGUGAGUAACACGUAGGUAACCUGCCCCGGAGCGGGGGAUAACAUUUGGAAACAGAUGCUAAUACCGCAUAACAACAAAAGCCACAUGGCUUUUGUUUGAAAGAUGGCCUUGGCUAUCACUCUGGGAUGGACCUGCGGUGCAUUAGCUAGUUGGUAAGGUAACGGCUUACCAAGGCGAUGAUGCAUAGCCGAGUUGAGAGACUGAUCGGCCACAAUGGAACUGAGACACGGUCCAUACUCCUACGGGAGGCAGCAGUAGGGAAUCUUCCACAAUGGGCGCAAGCCUGAUGGAGCAACACCGCGUGAGUGAAGAAGGGUUUCGGCUCGUAAAGCUCUGUUGUUGGAGAAGAACGUGCGUGAGAGUAACUGUUCACGCAGUGACGGUAUCCAACCAGAAAGUCACGGCUAACUACGUGCCAGCAGCCGCGGUAAUACGUAGGUGGCAAGCGUUAUCCGGAUUUAUUGGGCGUAAAGCGAGCGCAGGCGGUUGCUUAGGUCUGAUGUGAAAGCCUUCGGCUUAACCGAAGAAGUGCAUCGGAAACCGGGCGACUUGAGUGCAGAAGAGGACAGUGGAACUCCAUGUGUAGCGGUGGAAUGCGUAGAUAUAUGGAAGAACACCAGUGGCGAAGGCGGCUGUCUGGUCUGCAACUGACGCUGAGGCUCGAAAGCAUGGGUAGCGAACAGGAUUAGAUACCCUGGUAGUCCAUACCGUAAACGAUGAGUGCUAGGUGUUGGAGGGUUUCCGCCCUUCAGUGCCGGAGCUAACGCAUUAAGCACUCCGCCUGGGGAGUACGACCGCAAGGUUGAAACUCAAAGGAAUUGACGGGGGCCCGCACAAGCGGUGGAGCAUGUGGUUUAAUUCGAAGCUACGCGAAGAACCUUACCAGGUCUUGGCAUCUUGCGCUAACCUUAGAGAUAAGGCGUUCCCUUCGGGGACGCAAUGACAGGUGGUGCAUGGUCGUCGUCAGCUCGUGUCGUGAGAUGUUGGGUUAAGUCCCGCAACGAGCGCAACCCUUGUUACUAGUUGCCAGCAUUAAGUUGGGCACUCUAGUGAGACUGCCGGUGACAAACCGGAGGAAGGUGGGGACGACGUCAGAUCAUCAUGCCCCUUAUGACCUGGGCUACACACGUGCUACAAUGGACGGUACAACGAGUCGCAAGCUCGCGAGAGUAAGCUAAUCUCUUAAAGCCGUUCUCAGUUCGGACUGUAGGCUGCAACUCGCCUACACGAAGUCGGAAUCGCUAGUAAUCGCGGAUCAGCAUGCCGCGGUGAAUACGUUCCCGGGCCUUGCACACACCGCCCGUCAC
rnacentral:rRNA from 1 species